rnacentral:lncRNA from 1 species
UAGAUAAAUUUUAUGAAGAUCGACAAUCCUGAUUUUGCAAAGCCUCUUCUCACACACUCUUCAAUUCUCUCAAUAGCAGAGCCGAUAAUGCUGUCUGUCCGUCGUCACUACCAUCAAUAAUAGUAGUAUUUUUGAGUUCGAGAUCAGAUAAAAAUAUAUAGAUAUAGUGAUAGAUGAUGGUUUUACGAGUUAUCGAUUAAAAAUGUUAAAAUUUUAAAUUUUAAAUUAUUUUAAAAAAAAUUAUCUC